UGGUACACAUUUGGUGGAGGAACCAGACUGGAUGUUGGAAGUGAAGCCCGUCCCACCUUGAUGGUUCUGCCCCCUUCCAAUGAGGAGCUGCAGCAGGGGAAGGCCACGCUCGUGUGCCUGGCCAACAAGGGCUUCCCCUCAGACUGGAGUCUGGCCUGGAAGGUGGACGGCAUCAGCGGCGGCAGCUGGGAGGAGAGCAGGGGCCCUGCGGUGAUGGAGCAGGACGCUCGUUACAGCUGGAGCAGCACCCUGAGGCUCUCUGCAGGCCAGUGGACGAAGGUGGGCUCUGUGACCUGUGAGGCCACCCAGGGCUCCCAGACGCUGGUCUCAGAGACACUGAGGAGGGACCAGUGUUCCCAGGACUGAGCUGUAUCACCUGGA